GGAGUCUAGCAUGUGCGCGAGUCAUUGGGAGAUUACUAAACCUAAAGGCGCAAUGAAAGUGAAGUUCAGCCUCGCGCUGACCGAGGGAGGAUGGGCGGUCGUUACGGCUGCCGCCCCGCACUCCCGGGGCGUCUCGUUCUCAUUGCGAGAAGAGGCGCACCAAGAGCGUACACGCUGGGACCCGAAAGAUGGUGAACUAUGCCUGGUCAGGACGAAGUCAGGGGAAACCCUGAUGGAGGUCCGUAGCGAUUCUGACGUGCAAAUCGAUCGUCGGAACUGGGUAUAGGGGCGAAAGACUAAUCGAACCAUCUAGUAGCUGGUUCCCUCCGAAGUUUCCCUCAGGAUAGCUGGCGCUCGUAGCGCACGAGUUUCAUCCGGUAAAGCGAAUGAUUAGAGGCAUUGGGGUCGAAACGGCCUCAACCUAUUCUCAAACUUUAAAUGGGUGAGAUCUCCGGCUUGCUCGAACUAUUGAAGCCGCGAGACUCGAAUCAGAGUGCCAAGUGGGCCAUUUUUGGUAAGCAGAACUGGCGCUGUGGGAUGAACCAAACGUCGAGUUAAAGCGCCUAAAUCGACGCUUAUGGGAUACCAUGAAAGGCGUUGGUAACUUAAGACAUCAGGACGGUGGCCAUGGAAGUC
rnacentral:rRNA from 1 species